rnacentral:tRNA from 1 species
UAGCUCUUAAUAUAAAUAGUAUGAAUAAUUUCCAAUUACACAGACCUACGGGAGAGCUAA